rnacentral:rRNA from 1 species
UACGGGGGGAGCAAGCGUUGUUCGGAUUUACUGGGCGUAAAGGGCGCGUAGGCGGCCAGCACAAGUCAGUUGUGAAAUCUCCGAGCUUAACUCGGAAAGGUCAACUGAUACUGUGCGGCUAGAGUGCAGAAGGGGCAACUGGAAUUCUUGGUGUAGCGGUGAAAUGCGUAGAUAUCAAGAGGAACACCUGCGGCGAAGGCGGGUUGCUGGGCUGACACUGACGCUGAAGCGCGAAAGCCAGGGGAGCAAACGGG